ACUCCUACGGGAGGCAGCAGUGGGGAAUCUUGGACAAUGGGGGCAACCCUGAUCCAGCCAUGCCGCGUGAACGAUGAAGGCCUUAGGGUUGUAAAGUUCUUUCACCGGGGAAGAUAAUGACGGUACCCGGAGAAGAAGCCCCGGCUAACUCCGUGCCAGCAGCCGCGGUAAUACGGAGGGGGCUAGCGUUGUUCGGAAUUACUGGGCGUAAAGCGCACGUAGGCGGAUAUUUAAGUCGGGGGUGAAAUCCCGGGGCUCAACCCCGGAACUGCCUUCGAUACUGGAUGUCUGGAGGUCGAGAGAGGCGAGUGGAAUUCCGAGUGUAGAGGUGAAAUUCGUAGAUAUUCGGAGGAACACCAGUGGCGAAGGCGGCUCGCUGGCUCGAUACUGACGCUGAGGUGCGAAAGCGUGGGGAGCAAACAGGAUUAGAAACCCCAGUAGUCC
rnacentral:rRNA from 1 species